AUUGAACGCUGGCGGCAGGCCUAACACAUGCAAGUCGAGCGGAUGAAGGGAGCUUGCUCCUGGAUUCAGCGGCGGACGGGUGAGUAAUGCCCAGGAAUCUGCCUGGCAGUGGGGGAUAACGUCCGGAAACGGGCGCUAAUACCGCAUACGUCCUGAGGGUGAAAGUGGGGGUUCUUCGGACCUCACGCUAUCAGAUGAGCCUAGGUCGGAUUAGCUAGUUGGUGGGGUAAAGGCCUACCAAGGCGACGAUCCGUAACUGGUCUGAGAGGAUGAUCAGUCACACUGGAACUGAGACACGGUCCAGACUCCUACGGGAGGCAGCAGUGGGGAAUAUUGGACAAUGGGCGAAAGCCUGAUCCAGCCAUGCCGCGUGUGUGAAGAAGGUCUUCGGAUUGUAAAGCACUUUUAGUUGGGAGGAACGGCAGUAGGUUAAUACCUUGCUGUUUUGACGUUACCAACAGAAUAAGCACCGGCUAACUACGUG
rnacentral:rRNA from 1 species